AAGCAAUUUGGGGUCUCUUCUCUCAAUAUUGGCUCACACUAUGAUCUGCAUGUUUUUUGAAAUGCACUUUGAUGGAGCCCAACCUCUAUGUCUACCCAGAGCAGUGACUCUUUUACAUUGCCUAGACUGUGGUAUUUGCUUCUGACCCUGAGGAUCAUAAUAAAACAAAUCCCUUAGGCUAAAGAUAAAAGAUCCCAGAAGAAAGUCCAGGCCAUCAGGAAGAAGAGAACGCCUAAGUCUCAACACUAAUGAGUAGAAAAUACAUGCCUACUUGCUUCGUUAAAAGAGUGUGUUACUCACAGAAGUAAAAAUGUGAACUUAUGACACGGGUAGAAACAUGUCCAAAUUCAAUAUUAAACGGUAUGAACAACAAAAAUAUAGAAA